rnacentral:rRNA from 1 species
AGAGUUUGAUCCUGGCUCAGGACGAACGCUGGUGGCGUGCCUAAUACAUGCAAGUGGAACGCACUUAUUUCACCGGAGCUUGCUCCACCGAGAUAAGUGAGUCGCGAACGGGUGAGUAACGCGUAGGUAACCUGCCUCAUAGCGGGGGAUAACUAUUGGAAACGAUAGCUAAUACCGCAUAACAGUAUUUACCGCAUGGUAGAUGCUUGAAAGGAGCAAUUGCUUCACUAUGAGAUGGACCUGCGUUGUAUUAGCUAGUUGGUGGGGUAACGGCUCACCAAGGCAUCGAUACAUAGCCGACCUGAGAGGGUGAUCGGCCACACUGGGACUGAGACACGGCCCAGACUCCUACGGGAGGCAGCAGUAGGGAAUCUUCGGCAAUGGGGGGAACCCUGACCGAGCAACGCCGCGUGAGUGAAGAAGGUUUUCGGAUCGUAAAGCUCUGUUGUAAGAGAAGAACGUUGAUGUGAGUGGAAAGCACAUCAAGUGACGGUACCUUACCAGAAAGGGACGGCUAACUACGUGCCAGCAGCCGCGGUAAUACGUAGGUCCCGAGCGUUGUCCGGAUUUAUUGGGCGUAAAGCGAGCGCAGGCGGUUUGAUAAGUCUGAAGUAAAAGGCUGUGGCUUAACCAUAGUACGCUUUGGAAACUGUCAAACUUGAGUGCAGAAGGGGAGAGUGGAAUUCCAUGUGUAGCGGUGAAAUGCGUAGAUAUAUGGAGGAACACCGGUGGCGAAAGCGGCUCUCUGGUCUGUAACUGACGCUGAGGCUCGAAAGCGUGGGGAGCGAACAGGAUUAGAUACCCUGGUAGUCCACGCCGUAAACGAUGAGUGCUAGGUGUUGGGUCCUUUCCGGGACUCAGUGCCGCAGCU